rnacentral:rRNA from 1 species
AUUGAACGCUGGCGGCAUGCUUUACACAUGCAAGUCGAACGGCAGCGCGGGCUUCGGCCUGGCGGCGAGUGGCGAACGGGUGAGUAAUACAUCGGAACGUGCCCAGUAGUGGGGGAUAGCUCGGCGAAAGCCGGAUUAAUACCGCAUACGACCUGAGGGUGAAAGCGGGGGAUCUUCGGACCUCGCGCUUUUGGAGCGGCCGAUGGCAGAUUAGCUAGUUGGUGGGGUAAAGGCCUACCAAGGCGACGAUCUGUAGCUGGUCUGAGAGGACGACCAGCCACACUGGGACUGAGACACGGCCCAGACUCCUACGGGAGGCAGCAGUGGGGAAUUUUGGACAAAGGGCGAAAGCCUGAUCCAGCAAUGCCGCGUGUGUGAGGAAGGCCUUCGGGUUGUAAAGCACUUUUGGCGGGAACGAAAAGGACUGUGCCAAUACCACGGUUCGAUGACGGUACCCGCAGAAUAAGCACCGGCUAACUACGUG